AUUAUAUGUGCAAGCGAUGGCUGCCAGUGGGGAUGGUAAACUCGAUUCCCAUUCUACUCGAAAAUCGAGUUUUCUCGUAAAAUAAUCGAUUUUUUGUAAUCGAUCUUCAGUAGUCGAAGUCGAUUAAGAAUCGAUUCUUGACAUUCGAAAAAUCACCAAGAAAAGAAGUGCAACAUCUUUAUCUUAACAGAAAGGGCUACUACAGUUUAAACGUGAUGAUUUUUUGUGAUUAGAAAAUGUCUAUUCGGUAUGUGGAUGCUAGGCAUGCAGGCGCAAAUCAUGACUCUUUUGUUUUCAAUGUUAGCGAUUUGAAAGUGCAUUUACAGAACAACAUACAGAAUAACACUUCGAUCUUGUGCGAUGCUGGCUAUCCUCUGUACAAAUUUUUAAUGACGCCUUAUCGCUUGGCGGAAGCUUCUUCACCCCAAGCACGCUACAAUACAGUACACUCAAGCCCGGAAUAUUGUAGAGCGGACAAUUGGUGUACUCAAGAGUAGAUUUCGAUGUCUUUUAUCUGUACAAGGUUUACAUUACACUCCUGAAAAGGUUACGCAAAUUGUGAAUGCUUGUUGCGCAUUGCACAACAUUUGCCAAGACUUUCAAGUGGAAUCUCCGGAAGAAAUACCAUCUACUUCAAAUACUACAAUGACCAAUGAUGUUUUGGACAUAGAAAGAGAAGAAGAGGAUACGGCUCGAAUAAUUCGCAAUAAUAUUAUGACUUCCCUCUAAAUAAUUAAAAUAUUAAAUUUCAUUUAUUCUUUCUAAUGUGCUAUUUAUUCAGGCAUAUAUUUAAAUUUUAUUUAAAUAAAUUCAUUUAAUAACAAUAAGUUUGUCACGAUGUUUGUAACACCCAAAAGGAACCAUCGGAGACCCUAUAAAGUAUAUAUAUAAAUGAUCAGUAUGUUGAGCUGAGUCGAUUUAGCCAUGUCCGUCUGUCUGUCCGUUUGUCUGUCUGUAUAUAUACGAACUAGUCCCUCAGUUUUUAAGAUAUCCUUUUGAAAUUUUGCAAACGUCAUUUUCUCUUCAAGAAGCUGCUCAUUUGUCGGAACGGCCGAUAUCGGACCACUAUAGCAUAUAGCUGCCAUAUAAACUGAACGAUCGGAAUCAAGUUCUUGUAUGGAAAACUUUGACAUUUGACAAUGUAUCUUCACCAAAUUUGGUAUAGAUUAUUUUCUAGAGCAACAAUGUAAUCUCCGAAGAAAUUGUUCAGAUCGAAUUACUAUAGCAUAUAGCUGCCAUACAAACUGAACAGAUAGUUACUACCAGAAAUGCACCUGUGAAAGGUAUUUAGCUUCGGUGCAACCGAAGUUAACGUUUUUUCUUGUUUAAUGUAAACUUAAACUAUGGUACAAAAAUAUAAAAUAUCACUGCAUUCUUCAAUAUAAACUUAAACUAUGGUACAAAAAUUUCCAAAUUGUGGCUUUCCUCUUCCUACUUCUGGAAACUUCUCCAUUAACUCCACCAAUUUUUCGAAUUGCUUUUUGGUUGUAACUUUAUUUUUUCUAAAAAUUUAUAAAAAAUAUUAAUUAAAAUUAAUUUAACAUUGAUUAAAAUAGUUAUUUUACACGUUCUCCAUUUUUCUUUAAUAUUUAAGUCGAAGCUUAUUUAUAUACUAGUCAACCCCACUUGUACAGUAAUACCAAAAAAAGUUGAAGUUCGAUCAUACUUCAACCGCAAUUUUUUUUGACGGAUUGAGUUGAAGUUGGCAAUACGGAAUUUUUAAACUUCGACUGAAAUGCAGUUGGGUUGAAAACCGCAAUAGUAUUAACUAUACUUACAUAUAUCGGUAUUCUGCUUGAUGUCUCUAAUUGUCACAAUCUUCAUUUACUACUAUACAGUAUACUACUUUACUGUAUCUGCCAGAAUACCAAAAUGAGACUCCUGACUAACAGAGUCACUAAAUGAAGAUUGUGACAAUUAGAGACAUGAGACAAUCGCCUCAAGCAGAAUACCGAUAUUACUAUUGCUUAUUUGUUUAUAUUAUGUGAGCGAGAUCGCCCAGAAUCGUUUAUUGUUACUUUUGAUAUUUAUUUGUUUAUUUAAAAGUGGCUGUGCCAAAGUAAUUGGAUUCAUUUAAGUGGAGUGUGAAAUGAAUAUGUCACUUUCAAUUAGGUAGAGUGUGAAGUAAAUUCGUCACUAUAUAGUAUACACAACUUAUUUUUCAAAUGCAUUCAUAUAAGAAGAAUUAAAAAAAUUUGGUUGAUACGAGUAGGACAAGC